UACCUGGUUGAUCCUGCCAGUAGUCAUAUGCUUGUCUCAAAGAUUAAGCCAUGCAUGUGUAAGUACUUGCCGAUAUUUAAGGCGAAACCGCGAAUGGCUCAUUAAAUCAGUUAUGGUUCCUUAGAUCGUAGCCUUAUCACAUGGAUAACUGUGGUAAUUCUAGAGCUAAUACAUGCACGCAUGCUCCGACCCGGUUCGUAGCUGGGAAAGAGCGCUUUUAUUAGACCAAAACCAAUCGGGUAUCCCUCGCGGGUGCCCGGCAAAUUUGUGGUGACUCUGGAUAACUUUUGGCCGAUCGCACGGUCUUCGCACCGGCGACGUGUCUUUCAAAUGUCUGCCUUAUCAACUGUCGAUGGUAGGUUAUGCGCCUACCAUGGUCGUAACGGGUAACGGGGAAUCAGGGUUCGAUUCCGGAGAGGGAGCCU
rnacentral:rRNA from 1 species